GAUGAACGCUGGCGGCGUGCCUAAUACAUGCAAGUCGAGCGAACGGACGAGAAGCUUGCUUCUCUGAUGUUAGCGGCGGACGGGUGAGUAACACGUGGAGAACCUACCUAUAAGACUGGGAUAACUUCGGGAAACCGGAGCUAAUACCGGAUAAUAUUUUGAACCGCAUGGUUCAAAAGUAAAAGACGGUCUUGCUGUCACUUAUAGAUGGAUCCGCGCUGCAUUAGCUAGUUGGUAAGGUAACGGCUUACCAAGGCAACGAUGCAUAGCCGACCUGAGAGGGUGAUCGGCCACACUGGAACUGAGACACGGUCCAGACUCCUACGGGAGGCAGCAGUAGGGAAUCUUCCGCAAUGGGCGAAAGCCUGACGGAGCAACGCCGCGUGAGUGAUGAAGGUCUUCGGAUCGUAAAACUCUGUUAUUAGGGAAGAACAUAUGUGUAAGUAACUGUGCACAUCUUGACGGUACCUAAUCAGAAAGCCACGGCUAACUACGUG
rnacentral:rRNA from 1 species